CGCGACCCCAAGGUCAGGCGGGACUACCCGCUGAGUUUAA
rnacentral:rRNA from 2 species